rnacentral:lncRNA from 1 species
GUUUCUCUCUGGUCUGCUAUAAUUGCAUGGAUCAACUAGAAGGUCCUUGUAAAGAACAGAUGGCAUGUGACCAUGAACAAAGCAAGUGUGCAAGUAGAAUAACAUUAGAAAUUGAAAACACAGAACAAUGUAAGUGCAGAUUCCCUGGUUUCAUUUACUGGUACAGCUAAAGUGAUUUUUUCACAUGACACAAAGCAUCUUAAUGUUUUCUUAUUUCUUUUUUGACAAGUGAUAUUGUUGCCUUAUUUCUUGGCAUAAUUUAGACCAAUUUCCUGAAAAACUAGGUAGAAGUUUGAUAGUAGAUGCAUAUCACUGGACAUUGUUGAAGGAAUAGCGUGAUGUACCAAACGACGCUAACUUCCUCAAAGUCCACAUCUUUGAACCAUUUAACAGAAAUGAAAGAGCUUUAAUUUCGUAUCUGAAUUACACCAAAACCAAAACUGGUACAUACAGGCCGGAUUGUUGAAAAGAAAGUUGCUAUUGAAAUAGAUUUACAUUUUGUCAUUAUCUAACCUUUGUGCAUUAUGCAUUUAUGCAUUAUAAACCAGAAAUGGUCAUUUAUUCAUGUUUCUGUAUUAUUAAGGUAUAGUACAUGCAGAGACCACUGAGACAAGUUGUGCAAAGCCAGAUGAAUGUGAAUCGUUGUCCUUUAGCAAACACAUCUGGAGCAAAUCAGUUUUUGUCCAGUGCUGCGACACAGACUUGUGUAAUGAACAAAACGACACCGAUUAGGAUUAUUAUUAUGAGAAUGGGAUGAGAUGUUUCACUUGUGACGAGGAGGACUGUUCACACACAGUGAGUUGUCAGGGAAAUGAAGACUACUGCUUCACUGCAUACAAAAAUCACUCUCAAUAUCAGCAUCAAUACCAACCACAGACUGUAAAAGGAUGUGCCUCUACAUAUAUCUGUUAUAAUGCAACAGAACAGUUAGAGCUGGGUGAAAACAUCAAAUGUUGUUCAGGGAAUCUGUGUAACGGUGUUCAGAACGUCUCUCAGAGCUUCCUGUUCCUCUGCUGUUCUCUGCUCUCCUUCAUCCUGCUGCACUGAAUCCAGCAGCAAAGACCCUUCACAUCAGCCACAAUCUAAUUAAUUACUUAAAAAAACAAACCAUUCAUUUUCUGAGAUCAGUUGGAUAUCUUUUAAUCCAUGAAAUAAAAACUAAAUACUGGGGGAGUUCUAGAACAAUACAAAUGUUGGAUUAUUUUUAUUUAACAAUAAAUAAAAAAAAAGAACAAGCAUGGUUCAUCAUCAUGUAUUACACAAACGAUGUGCACUAUGCAUAAUUAUAAUAUUAAAAUAAAUAAAUAAAUAAAACUCCAACAAAAAAUCAGCCAUAUGUUUCCAGACAUGAAGCCCCAGUGUUGCAUAAAAGGUUUAGACUAGUUUUACAAUCAUUAUUUAUCCUCAUGCCAUGAAGAUUUGCUUUUGGUUGUUAAAUUAGAAAGAAGCAAGUCAAGAUUUUUUCCUUGCAAGACAGAAAAGCCCACUAUUCUCAGCAAGACACUGUGCAAACUUUAAAAAUAUAUACAAGACAAUACACAGAGACACUUGCAUGACCAUAAAUCCGCUGCUGCUUGUGCAAAAUCAUUAUAGUAAACAUUACAGUGUUUGGAGCUACAAAGGCACUUCUGUUUGAAUGAUAUAUCUAAAAGUGUGUGUAAAUCUCAAAUUGCAUUUACUCAUUUGUCAUGCCUUCUCCACAUUUUUUAACACAAAUUUGACAAGACUCACUCUUUAUUCAGGAAAAUGCAGCUGCUCCCAUGAAUAACUUUGAUCUUCUUGCAUAUUACUUAGUAAUUCCUAUUUUAUAUCCUAUUUUAUUCCUGUUUUAUCCCUUGCUUUCACAAUGUGCAAUCCACCCUAUCUGCUCUAAACAGAUUCGAAAAUUACUAAUAUCACAGAAUUUAUGAUGGAUAGUAUGUACAUUGCACAGGCCUUGUUUUUCUUCAAGCCAUGAGAAAUUAGAUGUCCUGUGUAUCCAGCAGGGGGCAACGGCUGAUCAUUGUAUCUAUUCAUUUAAUCCAAUAGUGACCGUAAAAGGGAAAAAACUUCCUGCAAAUAUGGAAAAGAUAAACAAAUAUGUGCAGUUUGACGUGAUUAGUGCAAUUUGUCACAUGACCAGAGCAGUUUAUGAUGAUGAUUGCUGCAUCAAAGCUCUAAAAUGAAAGGCUAGUAAAGUAUGUUAACAUAAUGAUAUGGCAAAGAUUUUUUUUCUACACACUGUGUUUAAGCUGGCUAGUAUUAAUAAAUGAAUUAAUAUAUAUUCAGUUUUGUUGAGUGGUCAUUGAAUGAGUAAACAUCUUGAUGGGAGAACAGUCAACAAUAUAAAUCCAGUUGUAGCUGUUAGUGAAAACUAAAAGUUCAAACGUUACAAAAAUGUACAAUAUUUAUGUUGCAAUACUGGUAGCACUAAUAUUAAGAUUUGAUUAUAUAUUUUACAAAAAAAAAACAAUUUUGAAAAACUUUGAUUGUAUUUUUUGUCUUUCAUCUCAGUAUUCCUAUCAAUGUUGUAUAACUUUUUUUUUAUGUUAGCAUAAUAUUAACUGUUUUUUGAAUGUGAUCAAACAGUUUAAAAUAGCUGGGCUAAGAUAUAAAACAUUUUUUAUGACUGCAGAGAUAUGUUAAUUCAGUAUAUACAUUUUCCCAUUGGUCGCAAUUUUCACCAAAAAAAAAUCUAAAAAUAAUUAUUGAUUAUUUCAAAGGGUUACUAAUGACACAUUAUUUUGUUAUUUUCAUGUCUGGGAAAAAUGUGUAAUUAAACGGGUU